rnacentral:rRNA from 1 species
UGAGGAAUAUUGGUCAAUGGGCGAGAGCCUGAACCAGCCAAGUAGCGUGCAGGAUGACGGCCCUAUGGGUUGUAAACUGCUUUUAUAUGGGAAUAAAGUGAGGGACGUGUCCCUUAUUGCAUGUACCAUACGAAUAAGGACCGGCUAAUUCCGUGCCAGCAGCCGCGGUAAUACGGAAGGUCCAGGCGUUAUCCGGAUUUAUUGGGUGUAAAGGGAGCGUAGGCUGUUUGUUAAGCGUGUUGUGAAAUGUAGGAGCUCAACUUUUAGAUUGCAGCGCGAACUGGCAGACUUGAGUGCGCACAACGUAGGCGGAAUUCAUGGUGUAGCGGUGAAAUGCUUAGAUAUCAUGACGAACUCCGAUUGCGAAGGCAGCUUACGGGAGCGCAACUGACGCUAAAGCUCGAAGGUGCGGGUAGCGAACAGG